UUUCGAACCAUGAUCGUUCCCUUCAUCAGAUUGCUCCAAAUCUUCUGUUAAAUCUUCCAUUGUUUUCUUCAGAUUAGCCUUGCUCAUCUGUGCUGCUUCUCCUGUUGAUAUCCCCACCAUUGUUAUCUUUGGUAAGAAAGGACUUUGCAGCAUUUCUCUAUCUCUAGAUUCCAUAUCCCUGGAAACCGAUAGAAAUGCAUGUUUUAAGAUUAUUACUCUCUUCAACAACGUGUUUGUUUGUCUUCAGAUGUUUUGAGAACAAUAAGUACCUUUGACCUGAUGAGCCCUUCUGAUGAGCCUGAUCUUUUCUCGACACAGAGUGUUUAAGCCAAUCUCCAAAAGGGAACCAGAGAUUUUGCC
rnacentral:lncRNA from 1 species